GACCGAAUCCUUGAAUGGCCUACUCCAUUAAGUUGUUUUAAACCUUUACUGUAUCUGUGUGAUAAAGUAAAACAAUCACUGGAGUGCAUCUUUAAGUGAGAUCCAUCACUCCUCUAGUCACUUACACACAUUAUGUCAGGUAGAGUGUAGAUGUUAGUUCAGGUAGAGUGUAGAUGUUAGUCCAGGCAGAGUGUAGAUGUUAGUUCAGGCAGAGUGUAGAUGUUAGUCCAGGCAGAGUGUAGAUGUUAGUUCAGGCAGAGUGUAGAUGUUAGUCCAGGCAGAGUGUAGAUUAAGGACAGUAGAUGGACACCCAACCCACACAUACACACAUGUUUUAAGUGAUGUCACAUCCUGCCACUAAUGAAGGACUUCUGAGGUAUGUAGCACAUUGAGGGAAAAUUCCCCACAUUCUUCCCCCCACAGAGUACUUGUAGAGAAGAGACAUGGGUUAAGGUCAAUGCAAGGUUAACAGGCUAAGUGGCUAAUAUGCUUUGAGAAUACAAUACAGGCCGUAAUCAAUCUGAGGCAUCCAUUGUUAUGGUCUGUAGAAUGUUUAGAAUGUUGUCAGUCUAUGGAGACCAGUAUAAUUGACUGUAGCCGUGAGAGCUGACCGGCUCUGUAUGUGUAUGUGUGUGUGUGUAUGUGUGUGUGUGU
rnacentral:lncRNA from 1 species